AAGUCGUAACAAGGUUUCCGUAGGUGAACCUGCGGAAGGAUCAUUAACAAAUGUUUCCAAACACCCUCCACGUCUUGUGAACUGUUAUCAAUGUCCAUGGCGAUGCGCCUGGGCUGUGUCUCGUCUAGGCUUCGGCCUAGGCCUGGCAUUGUCCAGGACUCGCCGUGUUUAUUCAACGUUUAUACUCAACUUUAUACUGAGACUUUAAUGAAAAUUAAAGACAACUUUUAGCAACGGAUCUCUUGGCUCUC
rnacentral:misc_RNA from 1 species